AGGGGUGUGCAAACUUUUUGGCCUGAGGGCCACAUCAGGGAAUAGAAAUUGUAUAGUGGCCAUAAAUGCUCACAAAAUCGGGGUUGGGGUUUGGGAGAGAUUGAGA